GGACAUAAAGAGGCUUCUGUCACUCAGUUCAUUAGCAAGGUUGAUUUGGCUGAUCUGGCUGAUCUGGCUGGCUAGGCUGGUGCCCCUUCUUCUUUCACUGUUCCAUGUGUGUACUUCCAAAAACCUGUAGGUCCAUGUGACGAUCACAACCUUAACUGAUGGAGGAGCAUUAUUCUUCCAUCAAGGGCAGAUGAAAAGUUGGGGUCCCAAACCUCUGAACAAGCUCUCAUGCUCCAUCGUUUUGUAAUAGUGUCACAGGCUUGUGACUAAUCGUUGAUAUAUAGAAACUUGGAUCCAAAUUAU
rnacentral:snRNA from 1 species